AACCAGCUGUUUGUCUACAUAAAGACUUGCACCGGGCACGGACCUCCCUCGGUUCCCCGCCUGCCCUGUCAGCUUCUGGACUUUUACCGUUUUGGAAAGCUCCCGGAAGGUAUAUGAAGACUGUUGGACACGGCUGGAACAGGAGUCAGGAAACGACCGUCAUCCAGUCCAAAUAAAGUUGCCUGAUGGCAGAUUUUUAUGACUGAUCCCAGAAUUCAUCCAACCGCCAACCAGCAUUCGUCCUCGAGAGCUGUGGAGUGUGACAAUGGUGUUUGUGUCCUGUCAAUCAAACGCCAUCAUCACACUAAAUAGCUACAGGGUGGAAAAAACACGAAUCGGACCGCCCCUGAUUUUCUCAAAAUGGCUACCAUAAAAAAUCUUUAGCCUUGAUUAAUGAAUUAAUUUUAUAUAGAAUUAAAAAUGAAACACUUUACAUAAUUUAGAUAAUUUUCUCAAAGUUGUUGAUUGAAAAUUUUACAAUGAAAGCAGACAAUCGGGACCCCCUCGUGGAAUUUUGUGGUGUGAAUACAUACAGUAAAAAAUAAAAUGCACCCAAGAUUUUGUGACAUCAUUUAUUUUGGCGUCUGGCAUUUUGGUUCAAAGUGACCAUUUUAAGGUCAUUAUUGAGAUGUCCAUCAAAGAAAAAGUUUCAUGACUCAACAUAAAACACAAAAUGUUAAAACUGGUAAAUCAGGAUUGUCCAUUUCCUGUCAUGACUGCAUAUCUCAAGUUUUCAACAAUCAAGAAAAGCACGUUUUAUUCCA